rnacentral:rRNA from 1 species
CAGCAGCCGCGGUAAUUCCAGCUCCAAUAGCGUAUAUUAAAGUUGUUGUGGUUAAAAAGCUCGUAGUUGAACCUUGGGCCUGGCUGGCCGGUCCGCCUCACCGCGUGCACUGGUCCGGCCGGGCCUUUCCCUCUGUGGAACCCCAUGCCCUUCACUGGGCGUGGCGGGGAAACAGGACGUUUACUUUGAAAAAAUUAGAGUGCUCCAGGCAGGCCUAUGCUCGAAUACAUUAGCAUGGAAUAAUGAAAUAGGACGCGUGGUUCUAUUUUGUUGGUUUCUAGGACCGCCGUAAUGAUUAAUAGGGACAGUCGGGGGCAUCAGUAUUCAAUUGUCAGAGGUGAAAUUCUUGGAUUUAUUGAAGACUAACUACUGCGAAAGCAUUUGCCAAGGAUGUUUUCAUUAAUCAGGAACGAAAGUUAGGGGAUCGAAGACGAUCAGAUACCGUCGUAGUCUUAACCAUAAACUAUGCCGACUAGGGAUCGGACGAUGUUAUUUUUUGACGCGUUCGGCACCUUACGAGAAAUCAAAGUGCUUGGGCUCCAGGGGGAGUAUGGUCGCAAGGCUGAAACUUAAAGGAAUUGACGGAAGA